rnacentral:tRNA from 1 species
GCCCGCGUAGCUCAGUGGAUAGANNAGCAGUAGCCUUCUAAGCUAUUGGCCGCAGGUUCGAUUCCUGCCGCGGGUACCA